rnacentral:rRNA from 1 species
GACGAACGCUGGCGGCGUGCUUAACACAUGCAAGUCGAACGGAAAGGCCCUGCUUUUGUGGGGUGCUCGAGUGGCGAACGGGUGAGUAACACGUGAGUAACCUGCCCUUGACUUUGGGAUAACUUCAGGAAACUGGGGCUAAUACCGGAUAGGAGCUCCUGCUGCAUGGGGGGGGUUGGAAAGUUUCGGCGGUUGGGGAUGGACUCGCGGCUUAUCAGCUUGUUGGGGGGGUAGUGGCUUACCAAGGCUUUGACGGGUAGCCGGCCUGAGAGGGUGGCCGGCCACAUUGGGACUGAGAUACGGCCCAGACUCCUACGGGAGGCAGCAGGGGGGAAUAUUGCACAAUGGGCGGAAGCCUGAUGCAGCAACGCUGCGUGCGGGAUGACGGCCUUCUGGUUGUAAACCGCUUUCGCCUGUGACGAAGCGUUAGUGACGGUACUGAGUAAAGAAGCACCGGCUAACUACGUG